rnacentral:lncRNA from 1 species
AAUAAUAGCCACAUUUAUUGAGGCCUUCUAGGCCAGAUGCUGUUCCAAGUGCAAGUUUUGGUAGGCAGAAUAGGAGAUUGGUGGUGGGGGUGGGAGUACUAUGAGCGUGACGUGGGAGAAAGAGAAAGAGCAUCAAAAAAGGAACUAAGAGUUGCAGAAUAGCAAAACUGAAGUUCAGUUCAAAACAAAUUUCAUCUCUUCUUUUUCCAGUUUUCCUAGACUUAGUCCUGAUCAGUUACUCCAGAAAACCUACAGGAAUCUGGCUGAGGGAGACAGUGCGGACUAAUAUUUCAUUUCUCCCCACUCCUCCCUCUGAGGAAUCCAGGACUUCAUUGUGGACCCCUGUAUUAGUCCAUUUUCACACUGCUACAGAGAGCUACCUGAGACUGGGAGUCAAUUACUUCUGCCAAGAUGGUGAUUCUUCUCCAUACCUACCUGUCCCUUGCCAUGAGGAGCUAAAGUGCCCAAGCAACAACCACAGCUUAUCAUCCAAUAAGACUCAACAGAAGUGUCGGGCGACUCACAGGGAGUUUGAGGAUGGGAUAACUUAUGCAGCUGUGGUGACCAGGAAUUGGCCAGGACUUCAUAACCAGUAUUGAUCAGUUGUUGGAUACUGGUCACCCCAGGAAAUGUAUGUGACUUUGGCCAUGGAGCUCUCCAUGGCAAUCACUGGCCUCACUUUUUCUGUUGAAAUGUAUUUGGAAGUGUUUAAAGGCAUUUUGUUUGUUUGUUUUUACAAAAGUUGGGUGGUGCUGUUGGACUUUUUGUAGUUUCUUAUUCCUUGGAAACAUGUUUAUUUCUUUAAACAUAAUAAACAUUUUGUAGUCUGUAUCUUAUAAUUUUAACAUUUUAGGUCUUUAUGGUCUGGUUCUAUUGUCUAUUUUUUUCUGCUAGUUCUCAUUUAUGUUGUCAUGUUUAUGCAACAAGUCAUAUUUGACUGUAGACUGGUUGUUGUAUUUGAAAAAUAAUUUGAGAGUGAUUAAACUCUGAGAUGACAGAAUUUUUCUCUGGAGACCAUUCUUAUUUGCUCCCGGAGCUUUACCAGUAAGGGAUCUGCUUAGUCUAAGUUCAAGGCUUGAGGCUCCUUGGACCAUCCAGUUGAUGCAAACCUGGGCUGCAAAUCCAAGCAAAAGUUGUUUUCCUUUAGGCUUUCUAUUUCCCUGAGGGCAUAAACCUUGGAUCUCAGUUUAAUAUCUAUGGAGAGAAUGGGCUCCCCACUAUGGGUGGGCCUAGGUUUUCACUUUUUUCCUACUUGCUUUGUGAGGCCACCGAGACAGCACCUCAGUUUUGCAUGUUUCUUCAGGUUUGGAAAAUGCUAUUGAGGUCAAAGCAGCUUUGUGUGCUCAACUUACUUUCCCGGGAUUUUGUCUUCUGUACUGUUGUAGAUUAAAUCUUCACUAUCUUAUUAACUCUUGGAUUUUUUAAGAGAAAUAAUGUAAGAAAAUUAUUUCACCCAGCUUUUUAAUAACUGUCCUUAUUGGGAAGGAAGAAACCUCUAGUGUUUCUUGCUUGUAGUCAAACCCUGUGGUAUUUUCUAUGAGAAUUCAAGGUGGGUGGGGGAGGCAUUUUAUUAAAUACCUUAAAUUUGCAAGCUUCUUUUGCUCAUUGAAGUUGAGGUCAAGUAAGUCAUAUAUUAGCUGUGCAUUUUUCUAAGAAUUUAGAAUAAAUAAAAUUUAAAACCCACACUAAGCAUGGAUCUGAUUUUCUACUUAGAAUGUAACAACAUAAACAUAAGAUUUUAAUCAAAUUAUCAAAAUUUCUCUAAAUCCAAUAGGAUAUGAUACCUAAACUUUUAAAAUAAAGCUGUAGAAAUAUCUAUAUCGUCAACGGUAUUUUUAAGUUCUUCAUGGCUUACCAGUUUUGAUACCUUAUUUGAGGAAAAGAAAGUCCGCUAUUUUUUCAAUAUAGUAGAGACAUCAUUUGCAGUGACAGGAAGAAAAUUCAGGCCCUCCUUGUAAUUAGAGAGCCGGCACAUAGUAAUUACAUGAGAAAAUCCUCUCAGACAUAACAAUGUAAUUGUAACCAUCCAGUGUAGGAUAAUUUUCCUUACCUAAAAAGUGCCAAACACAAUUAAUGUUGACUAACUUCCAAAAGAAUAAUGAACUUUCAUCUCUCAGAUUCAAAAUUACUCCAGCCUAGAGAGACGAGUUCUUUAUUUCGGGAACUAGUCACCCGCAAAUGGACCCUCAUGACAUAAAUGAAACCCAAAACUCUUUUAAGUGCCAGAUUUAUUUCCGUGAGAUCAAUUUAAACCAAAAAGAUUUCAUUCUCUCAGAAAAAUUAUUCCUGCUUCCUUGCAAUGCUGUGGUUUAUAAUAGAGUUAUUAUUAGCUUUGACCACAAUUAUGCCACUCUGACAGCUCCCACCUGCCUGGACCAAGAGUGACUUCUUAUCCCUGGAAUGCUGGUUACUCUUGUUCUUCAUGCUACUGGGCUGGCACUCAGCAUUGCACAAUGAUGCUUAGCCUUUUAUGGGCAUAGCUAUUUCCUCAAGGAGACUGAACUCUUGGAGGACAAGGACCCUGCCUUGGUAUGUCUUAUUAUAGAUCCCGGAAGUGCCCAGUACUGGCCCCUUUUAUAGAAGAUGCUCAGUAUUUGUUUGUGAUGGUAAUGAUGAUUCAUGUUUGACUUGGGUGACAAAUUAAUUUUAUUCAUUCUGUUUCCUCAACCCCUAGCACAUUGCCUGGCCCAGAGUAAGUACUCAAGAAAAGCCUACUGAAUGAAUGAACAAAUGAAUUAAUGAAUCAUUCGAAUUUUAAAAACUAGUUAGAAACACACACAUACAGAAUGGAGAACAUUGUGAGCAGAUUAUUUCUUAGCCUUUGUUUUUAAAAAUACAAAAAUAAUCUCACUUUCUUUUCUUUUCUUUUAGUUGACCACAAGAAGAUAGGCUGUGACUUAAUUGUUUUAGCCAAGUGCUGUUAAAUCUCACGCUCCUUUUUCUUGACUCAGGAAUACAGAAUAUAAAUAUAGAGUGCCCUCCUAUCUCCCCAGUGUCAUUGCCUUGCUCUGUGAACAAACCCAGAGGUCCAACGUUUGUGGAAGGCCGUCUUCUACUCACUUCAGAAGACGAAUAUGACAAUGUGACCCAUUCCCUGAGAUGUUUUACAACUUGAGGGAAAAAAGUGUGACUCUGAGAUGUACCAGCUGUUAGGCCAGAGACAACCCUCAGAUCACCUGGGACUUGCUCCUUGUUGCCUCCUCUUUGAUCUUUGCAUCAGAGGGCCCUGCCAGUCUCUGUCCUCACAGUACCCAGUCUCUUGGAGCCCAAAUGGACUACGACAGUGCCCAAGAAAGACAUAAGGGGAAGAGUACCAGCUGAGAAUACAUACCAAAGAUGCUGUCUCCAGCACUGCAUGGGACAAGGAUGAAGCCUCAUCAGCCAGCUGAACUGGAACAAGUAUAUUCUAAAACUCCAUCCUAUUUUAAUUUUUCUAUUUUUAAUGCAGAGUUAAUCCAUAUCAGCUUUCUUAACCAUAAAGCCAUUCCAAGCGCUAACUUUUGUUUAAUUAGCACUUUGCAAAUUAAAACUUCAGUGUGAAAAGUAUUUUAAGCAUAUUGGAUGGAACAAAGUAUAGUUUGAGAAUGUUAUCCAUCAUAUAGGAAUGGAUCAGACAGAACACUGUGAAAUCAACAAUGUGCUUUUAUUAAUAUUCCUCAAUCCCAGUCAUUAUCCAAUAAACCUCAUUUCUUCCUUCUUUUAUAUGCUUUGACACUUGGGAUCAUCACUAAAGCCCCUUUCAAGCUUCAACAUUCCAUUUUUUCCCAGACGUUUGCUAGUCUAGUCAAUUUAUUAAGAACUGAAAUAUAAAGAGGUAAAAUGUAAAAUAAUCUGAGUAGUAGAAAGAACACUGAAUUUAAGAAUCAGAAAAUCUCUUUCAGUCAAGAAUGUGUACAUCUGACUUUGUAAACUUGGGGCAUAAAUCAUUUUAACCUCUCUAGGUUCUAUUACUAUCACUAUUUUGGGGUGUGAAUAAAUUAUAAGUCUAGACUCACCUAUGAUGUCAGAAUGAAUUAAGCAGAUAUGGAAGCACUUUUGAAACAUAAAUUGCGAUUGCAACUGUCCAAGGCCACAAAAGAAAUUACUAAAAUAACUCAAAGGAAGUGUUAUAUAUCAAGGAUUCAAAACACAAGAAACAUCCCUAAAAUAUAACAUUCUAACUGAUUUUCUUAAAGAUUGAUCUUUUUUAAAAGUCACAUAAGGGUAAUGAUUGAGGAAUGAUCUGCCACAUCUUGCAGCCUGUGAUGUAUUGUUCAGUGAUAUCAUUGUGGCCAACGAGGCACCAAAGAGCAGGCGAUCACAGUGACAUCAUGGCAGGAUCACUGACAAUGCUCGUGAUGUGACGAUUCUUUAUCAUUUAUAUGUUGGGCUGGUUAUAAAGUAUUUAAUUGGUAUUGUUCACAUUUAUAUCAUGUGAUGAGACAUUCUUGUCACCAUUAUUCAGUUUCUGAAUAUUCUUGGUGAAUGAUCUUCAGGGAGCCCUGGCUUCUGACCGAGGGUUUCUAUCCUUUGUCAAGCCACCCUAUUCCCUCACUUUUCAAUCACUUUACCUAUGACUAAUAGAAAGUUCAAAGCAAAAACCUAUUGAUUAAUUUUCAACUAGCAACAGAUAAUGAAACACAUUUUGCAUGUACAUUUUUGGAUUCCCAUUCUCCUGACCAAAGUAAAUUGGCUGGAAAUAAAAGACAUGUAAAAAAUCUCAUGCAGUUGUACUAAUUGAUCUGAGAGGAAAAAUGUAAAAUAUGUAGAUACCUUGAUUGUCUCCUCUUCAUCCCAUUGACUAGGGAGGGAUUCCACACUACGGUUAUGGGGAUGGCCCAAGAUAUGACAUCUAAUACUGGACAGAUGAGAUUGACAGUAGUGUACAGUCCAGGGGAGGAGAGGAAGAUACUGCACCAUGCAGGGCUGAAUGGGGAUGUGCUCAGGAACAGAGUGAAUAAGCAGACCCUGUGGAAAGCAGGCUUUAUAGUAGCAAGAGCAUGGAGUGACUCCUUGUUUCUCAGAUGGAUGUGAUCGGCUUGUUUGAAUAAUUCAGUGGGCUGGCAGGGAACUGAAGUCUACUACUCAGGGAUAAGCAGGCACUGUGCCUUGUCCUUGUAAUAAGGAGGGUUGUUUGGCUAGGACACCUUAUCAGUAGGAGCGAAGUGUGUAGGAUGAUGCAGUUAGGACAUCAGAGGCCCUCCCAGUUUAGAUGUCAAAGUAGCACAUCAUUGUUAUUUUAAGCCUUACACUACAACAGACAUCAUAUAAAGACACUUACCAAUUUGGACCAGGAGGCACAGCUCCCAUAACUUCUAUCGUCCAUCACUUUUUACCCCUGCUCGUAAGUCAAACAAUAAAGGAAAGUCCUCUCAAAGUCUUAGACAGAAUUAGGAGUGCUAAGAGCAUUGUUGAGGCCAUUCCUAGCCUUCCUUCUUGUUCAGAAACUACAGAUCGAAAGUCAAGGGGCCCUCCUUGGCAGCCUGCAGCUGGUGGCUGCCCUGUCUCCAGCAAAGGUUUUUCUGACUGUUCAGGCACACAACUGUGACUCCCCACGAGCAGACCCACUUACGUUUACCAAGACAAGAUAACAGAGUCAAUUAGCCUUGUCAGUCACUGUGACUAUAACUUAGAAGAAUAGAAGCCCACUGAUCACACUUAAUGAAAAUACAAGGUGACAAGAAAGUCAUCUGCAGCUGUUUAUGGACAAGAAUUUGGGGAAAAUGUAUUAAGAACAGUUAUAAUUAGAGAUACACACAAAAACAGAUAUGCUAUAUGCUAUAUUAUAAUAAAAUUGACAUUAUAAUAUUUACUAUAUUUACAUACUGAAUACAUUUAAAACAAUAAAAUUAAGUGAAAACAUUUUUGUUGUGCUUUUCUGUUCAGUGAUACUGUCUGGUUUUUUUAUUAAAGUUUUAAAUGUUAAAUGAUGACAUUUCAAAUACACAGCCAAGUACCAAAAUUAUUAAUAGACACUCAUGUACCAACCUACCAUAUUAACAGACAUUAACAUUUUGCUUUACUUGCCUUAGAAUCAAUUUUCUCUGUUUUAAAAAGCAGAAAGCAUUAAGCACAGAUAAAGCACCCCCAUCUCAUCCUCUACCUUUCUCUCCAGAGGUAACCAUCACCCUGAAGUUAGUAUGCUUCUUUUCAUGUAUGUACAUUUAAACUUAUGUUAAUAUUAUAUAGACAUGUCCAUAAAUUAUAUAUACUGUUAUUUUGUGUGCUUUAAAUAUUUAUACAAAUACUAGAAACCAUAUGGUACAUUUCCUUUUGUAACUUGCUUUUCUUGCCAACAUGUUUUGACAUUUAUCUGUGUUAAUAUAUUUAGAUCAAGUUUGUUCAUUUUAACUUUCUGUAGUAUUUUAUUACAUGAAUAAAUGAGUUUAUUUACUCAUUUGCUUACCGAGAACAGUGGUGUUUGUUUUUUCUUUGUUUUUGAAGCAACAAGAAAUAUAAUAGAAACAAUCUAUACUGCAAGGAAGAUUUUGUCCAAGUCUCCAUGGGCACAUAUGUAAUAGCCACUGUAGGCAUUAGCCCUAUAUUUGAUAGAUGGAAAAACAUUUAUUUUUGAUGGCUCAGCUUAGAUAAAUAUGAUAUAUUCACCGUUGUUGUUGUUGUUGUUUUAACAAAUCUUCUUUUCAUGAUUCU